rnacentral:rRNA from 1 species
CCUGCGGAAGGAUCAUUAAAGAAUGCCCCGUUUUUUGAAAUGGGUUCUAUUCCCAAACCGUGUAUACAUACCUUUGUUGCUUUGGCAGGCCGCCUUCGGGUGUCGGCUCACGCUGACCGCGCCUGCCAGAGGACCCAAACUCUUUUGUUUAGUGAUGUCUGAGUACUAUAUAAUAGUUAAAACUUUCAACAACGGAUCUCUUGGUUCUGGCAUCGAUGAAGAACGCAGCGAAAUGCGAUAAGUAAUGUGAAUUGCAGAAUUCAGUGAAUCAUCGAAUCUUUGAACGCACAUUGCGCCCCUUGGUAUUCCGAGGGCAUGCCUGUUCGAGCGUCAUUAUGACCACUCAAGCCUAGCUUGGUAUUGGAGCUCGCGGUCUCGCGGCUCUUAAAAUCAGUGGCGGUGCCAUCUGGCUCUAAGCGUAGUAAUUCUCUCGCUAUAGAGUCCCGGCGGUUACUUGCCAGAACCCCCCACAUUCUUAGGUUGACCUCGGAUCAGGUAGGGAUACCCGCUGAACUUAAGCAUAUCAAUAAGCGGAGGA